AUUGAACGCUGGCGGCAGGCUUAACACAUGCAAGUCGAGCGGGGACUUCGGUCCUAGCGGCGAACGGGUGAGGAAUGCUUGGGAAUCUGCCCAGUAGCGGGGGAUAACGUUUCGAAAGGAACGCUAAUACCGCAUACGCCCUACGGGGGAAAGGGGGGGAUCUUCGGACCUCUCACUAUUGGAUGAGCCCAAGUCGGAUUAGCUAGUUGGUGGGGUAAAGGCCUACCUAGGCGACGAUCCGUAGCUGGUCUGAGAGGAUGAUCAGCCACACUGGAACUGAGACACGGUCCAGACUCCGACGGGAGGCAGCAGUGGGGAAUAUUGGACAAUGGGCGAAAGCCUGAUCCAGCCAUGCCGCGUGUGUGAAGAAGGCCUUCGGGUUGUAAAGCACUUUAAGCGAGGAGGAAUGGCUCUUGGUUAAUAACCUUGAGCAGUGACGUUACUCGCAGAAUAAGCACCGGCUAACUCUGUGCCAGCCGCCGCCGUAAUAC
rnacentral:rRNA from 1 species